AGGAAUUAGGAUUUUUCUUUCAAAGUUAUUCGAGCUUUGGAGGCUACAAUCAGUAAGUUCAGGAUUUUGGAUAUAAUUUGGGUGAAAGGUUUGUGUAAUUUCGAAUUUUUGUGAAGGAGAUAUACAUAUUCAAAGUUAAGGUCUCAAAUUUAUAUCUACUAUCACUCUUUGAAGCAUAACAUAUGUGUACAGAGAGUAAUGAAAGAUCGGCAACUAGAAUUGGAAAAAAAACUUUCUUG
rnacentral:lncRNA from 1 species